GUGUGUGUGUGUAUCCUCAAAAUACAAAAGCUUUUCUAAUGAGUGAUGAGAUGAGUCCUCAAAAGUGUCUGAAUGUAUGUGUAGAAGUAAAUAAAGCCAACAUGUUUUGGUUGUAGGUCUUGCAGGUCUCUCUGACUCUAGUUAAGAGGCAAUGCAAGCAGGUGAUGGAGUCCAGUGCUCAACCACAAGAAGAAAACUCCACCCUGAUACCUGAUGAGAACAUACUGCAAGACUGUGUGCACAAGUUGGAAAAAAAGCACUGUAAGAUCCGGCACAGGCUUGUUAACAUGACAAAGGAUCAUCAGCAAACAGGAAGCUUACGGCAUUCUACAGUCACAGUACAAGGAGACAUUAAAUCAGUACGACGAGUUACUGAAUAGUGUGAGCGGGAGCAGGAGGCUCAUAGUAUGCUGAUGUCACAGUACAAUCAGAUGAAGGAAACUUUUACCCACGAUGUGGAGUCGCUAAAGGAGGAGAAAUACGAGCCGGCGAUGGAGUCCAGUGCUCAGCUGGCUCAAGCAGGCUCAAGCCUCAGCACAGCAGCUGGAGGAAGAGCUCCAUGAGAUGUGCAGGAAAUGUGACGAGAUAACAACAGUA